rnacentral:rRNA from 1 species
AUUGAACGCUGGCGGCAGGCCUAACACAUGCAAGUCGAACGGUAACAGGAAGAAGCUUGCUUCUUUGCUGACGAGUGGCGGACGGGUGAGUAAUGUCUGGGAAACUGCCUGAUGGAGGGGGAUAACUACUGGAAACGGUAGCUAAUACCGCAUAACGUCGCAAGACCAAAAAGGGGGACCUUCGGGCCUCUUGCCAUCGGAUGUGCCCAGAUGGGAUUAGCUAGUAGGUGGGGUAACGGCUCACCUAGGCGACGAUCCCUAGCUGGUCUGAGAGGAUGACAGCCACACUGGAACUGAGACACGGUCCAGACUCCUACGGGAGGCAGCAGUGGGGAAUAUUGCACAAUGGGCGCAAGCCUGAUGCAGCCAUGCCGCGUGUAUGAAGAAGGCCUUCGGGUUGUAAAGUACUUUCAGCGGGGAGGAAGGGAGUAAAGUUAAUACCUUUGCUCAUUGACGUUACCCGCAGAAGAAGCACCGGCUAACUCCGU